rnacentral:sRNA from 1 species
ACCAGGCGUGAUGGCGCACACCUGUAAUCCCAGCACCUUGGGAGGCCGAGGCAGGAGCAUUGCAGGUUCAAGGCCAGCCUGGGCAACUUAGCGAGAUCCUGCCUCAA